rnacentral:tRNA from 1 species
GGCCUGAUAGUUCAACUGUAAAGCACUGCACGGGCAUUGCAGAGGUCAAAGUUCGAGUCUCUUUCAGGUCU